UCGAGCGGGAUUGGGUAGCAAUACCCAUGAGAGCGGCGCACGGGUGAGUAACGCGUACACGACCUACCUCUAACAGGGGGAUAGCCCUGGGAAACUGGGAUUAAUACCGCAUAUAAUUUUGAUUUUAAAAGUUCAAAAUGAAAGUUCAGGCGGUUAGAGAUGGGUGUGCGUCUGAUUAGCUAGUUGGUAAGGUAACGGCUUACCAAGGCGAUGAUCAGUAGGGGGCGUGAGAGCGUGGUCCCCCACACGGGUACUGAGACACGGACCCGACUCCUACGGGAGGCAGCAGUAAGGAAUAUUGGUCAAUGGGCGCAAGCCUGAACCAGCCAUCCAGCGUGCAGGAAGAAGGCCCUACGGGUUGUAAACUGCUUUUGUCAGGGAAGAAACCUUUGGAUCUACUCCGAAGCUGACGGUACCUGAAGAAUAAGCACCGGCUAACUCCGUGCCAGCAGCCGCGGUAAUACGGAGGGUGCGAGCGUUAUCCGGAAUUACUGGGUUUAAAGGGUGCG
rnacentral:rRNA from 1 species